rnacentral:misc_RNA from 1 species
GGAAAGGUUGAUAACAGGAACUGCAUAACAAACUGGCAAGUAUAUUUGUUGUAUGCUAUUUUGCAACUUUCAUUUGGGCUCUACUUGCUUUUUGGUAGAUAAAGUGUUUAACAGUUGUUUAAUGUGAAAGUUUCUACGUCAAAUGGGAUUGUGAGGCUGAAAUUGCAUGCAAUGAUUCACAAGCGUACUUAUCAUAAUUCAGCUGCGCUCUCCAUACCUCCAUCCUCUCCCUAUGGGAAAACUGCUCCCGUUUAUGAGAGCUGCUAAAACAAAUUCAUUUUGGUCUCUUAUCUUACUUCGCCCACUACUCUUCAUAACAUCUUAGGCCUUCAAAUCUCAACACCAAGCUUAUGAGUUGGGCUUGGGUUUCUGAUAUAGUAUUAAAGCCAAGUUUCUUUCUUUUGGGUUGUUUCUCAUAGGCGUCCAUGGAGGUGGGCUGUUAAUAAGCCUCUUAUCUCAUUCGCCUAUUUAUAGACCUUGGGAUCUCGUCAUAACCUCUUAGGCUUUCUAACUUUCACUGAGUUUUGAGGUUAGGAUUGGGUUUCUAAUAAGAGGGAACCCCUAUGAAAAUAUAUAACCUAACGAAUAUGGGAUUUAGAUUUUGGUGCUUGGCUCUUUUUACACAAAAAUGUGGGACUUUUAUGGCUUUACAAGUCCCACAUUGAAGACAAACAAGCUGGGAACCCCUACCCUCUAGUCCUGUGCCAUUUAUUAGUGUUGUGGUCUACUUUGUUUAAGGCUUACUUAUGAGACAAUUUGUAAUGAGUUCCUUGAAAAUUUAUGUGAUUAUUAAAUUUAGUUUAAUUCAAUUCCAGCUCAAGCUUGAUACAUUUUAUGUCAGACAUUGCUGAGCUUGAAGGGUGAAGCUCAAUUCAAGCUGAAUCCUAGUGAAAAAAUGUUGAGCCAAGCCUUACUACAUCAAAGCUUGGCUUGGCUAAACUUUGUUUGCAGUCUGAUGCUCUGAUGGGAAUCUGAUCUCAAUGUAGAAUAAGUAGCAGAAUGUUAGAAUUUAAUGAGUAUAACUUCUAGAAAUUGUCAAAUAAAGGGUUGAUGUCAAUCUUGAGUGCAUGGCAGAAUAUUAGGAUAUAAUCCCUUUUACUGCUAGAAAAUGUUGAAUAAAAGAAAUCUCAAGUACGAAGUGGAAUGGUAGAAUAUACUUCAUAUUACUGCUAGAAAUUGAGAAGCUAAUAUGGACUUUAAGGCCCAUCACCUGAAGAAUGUAGGCGUGAAUCCUCUUCCUGUCCAUUUGCUUGAGAUCCUGGGUAAACCAGUUAGAGGUUGUGGACUAUUGAGAUUGGUGAGGUCCAUAUGCUGAGCUUCCAUCUAAUUUUUUGUUUGCCUUUGGCUCCAAAGUGGAGUUAUUUUAUGCGGACGUGACAAGGUUGCUGCCUCCUAUUUUUUGUUUUCAUGUCUCUUAACAUUUGUACAAUGACUGGAUUCUAAAUUGGAAGAACAUAAGUACAUCUUGGACUUCUUAGGAAAAGCAGGCUCAUGUUUCUUUCCUGCAUAUUUGAAUUAUUGACCUUGAGUGAUUAUAUGGCCGCUUGCUCAAUGACAAAGUACUCACUUCCAAGAUUUUAAAUUCUUGUAUAUAAAUUUCUAAAAUGCCCCCUAAUUGAUUGGGGUUAAGGCUGAGUUGACUGAGUUUUAAGACUUCUCAAGUGUCCGAGCAAGCAGCGAGGUAACUCAGAUUAGCUGGAUAUUUUAUCAUUUGCUUACUCUUUCAGAAACUACAAAACGAUCACUACCCCAAUGCACUGCACUGCAUUAAAAUAAGUACACUGAUACACAGCUGUUUUUGUAGCCUCAGAUCCCAUUAAUGCUCACAAGAUGACAAGAGCGUUGAGAUAUUGUCUUUUCAUUUGAAUAUCCAUGAUACUUCUAAAGAAACCAAAUACCUCAAAUUAUAGAAGCGUAAUAACACAUAGAGCCGGCUAAAAUGCUGUAAUGGGGAGUAAACUCUUCCUCAUAUCGUGACUGAAGCAAGGAUGACAGGAAUUUCUUUAUUGGCUUAUUAUCUGUUCCAUGUUCAUUUUCUAAUGCUUAAAUGCCUUUUAUUCUUGUGGCUUUAUAUGAUAUCUUACCUUGAGAAGCACCAAAUCUUAGAGCUUUUGUUUUCUCUGAGAUAAUUGCAGAUCCUUGUAAUGAGGUCAUUACA